ACCUGUGCUCUCAGGCAGCCUCUCCCCACAUGAUGGUGAAGAUGACCACCAGUUGGAUCAGACGUUUAUCCUACCAUCUCAGCAACGCUGGCAGAAAGGGAGCACUUUCUCUGCAGAUGUUCUAGCAAAAGUCUCAUGGCUGAAUUUCAUUGACUUAGCUUGAGUCACAUGCUCACCCCUGAACCACUCUGAUUGACUAUUCUUGGGACAUGCGCUCACCUUGGAGUUGAGAGGAGGAUUAGCCCCAUCCAAACAUCACCAAGUAAGAGAGGCAGAGGCGCUGCACAGGAAAUGGGACCCCAAAGCCAGAGGAAUGGGGAGUGGGGGCUGAGCAGAUGUGAAGAAUGGAUGUCUGCCUUCAGGGCCAGGCUGGGAUCUUAUGGAUGGAUCUUAUGAAGUAGCUCAGGGGCUCUCUAUGGUUUUCAUUUCUACAGUCCUGGGAUGUUAGGGCCAGACAAAAGCUCAGAUCUUAUGCAUCUUCUGCCCAACUCUGCAUUUUACAGAUGAGAAAAUUGAAGCUUGAGAAGAUGGGGGCCAUUUGCCCAAAGUCCCUGAGUAUGAAACAUCUAGGGGAGGAGGGCACUGUAUCAACAGUGUAUCAACUUCCGUAUCAACAGUUCUUCUCUGAGUGGCUCAAACCCAUGCUACAGAAGAAGGGCUUUUACCCAACCAUGAUGCUACCAAGUCUGUAGCAUCCUAGUACAGAUUGUCCACCACUCAUCACUCAUUUAUGGUCUAGAGACCAGGAGCAUGAGGAUCACCUGGGAGCUGGUGAGAAAGGCAGAAUUUCACGCCCUGCCCCAGACCUACUGAAAUAGAACCUUCACGUGAAAAAGGUCCCCAGCUGAUUGUGUGCAUGUUGAAAUUUGAGAAGCGCUGGUCUCUACCAUGGACAAAAGAGUUCCAGGUGACUCUUCCAUCUGGCCAGGAUUACAGUUAAUCCUAAAACAAGUUCUCUUCUCCUAAACCUUGCAGAAGAGGAGGAUUUUGCAAUCUAUGAGCUUACCAGAGCCUCAUUGAGCACCUACUAUAUUCCAAGUGCUUGAACAAAGUAAACCUGGCCUCUGCCCUGAUGGUGUGUGCCUCAUAGUCUGGGAAGAUAGUCAAUCAACAAAUAAGCAGAAAGAAGAUGAUUUCUGGCAUGGGAGACACUGAGCCAUACUCACCCAGCUAAGCUGCCCCUGGAUUCCUGACCUGCAAGACACGAAGUGAGAUAAUAAAUGGUCUUGUUGUAAGCCUU